CCGCUCCUAGGGGGGCAGCAGUGGGGAAUAUUGGGCAAUGGGCGCAAGCCUGACCCAGCAACGCCGCGUGAAGGAAGAAGGCCCUCGGGUUGUAAACUUCUUUUAUCAGGGACGAAGAAGUGACGGUACCUGAUGAAUAAGCCACGGCUAACUACGUGCCAGCAGCCGCGGUAAUACGUAGGUGGCAAGCGUUAUCCGGAUUUACUGGGUGUAAAGGGCGUGUAGGCGGGGAAGCAAGUCAGAUGUGAAAUUCCAGGGCUCAACCCUGGAACUGCAUUUGAAACUGUUUUUCUUGAGUGAUGGAG
rnacentral:rRNA from 1 species